CGAACGGGUGAAUAAUGCGUGACCAACCUGCCCCAUGCUCCAGAAUAGCUCUUGGAAACGGGUGGUAAUGCUGGAUGCUCCAACUUGACGCAUGUCUUGUUGGGAAAGUGUUUAGUGGCAUGGGAUGGGGUCGCGUCCUAUCAGCUUGUAGGCGGGGUAAUGGCCCACCUAGGCUUCGACGGGUAGCCGGCCUGAGAGGGCGGACGGCCACAUUGGGACUGAGAUACGGCCCAGACUCCUACGGGAGGCAGCAGCA
rnacentral:rRNA from 1 species